rnacentral:misc_RNA from 1 species
GUUUAGGCUUUCCCCCGGAAACCUACUCGCCUGUUCUCCGAUUAUACUCGAUGGGAACCGAGCGGAAGAGGAAGGUGAGCUUGUUCGAUGUGGUGGAUGACUCGGCAGCGAAGAAACUCAAUGGAGGCUUAAAUGGUGGAAACAGCAUGACGGCUUCGAUCAACAAGUGGAAUGCAAAGCCUUACUCACAGAGAUUUUAUGACAUUUUGGAGAAGAGGAAGACUCUUCCGGUUUGGCAUCAAAAGGAGGAGUUCUUACAGGCAUUAAAAUCCAAUCAAACUCUUAUCUUGGUCGGUGAAACCGGUAGUGGUAAAACAACUCAGAUUCCACAGUUUGUUUUGGAUGCUGUUGAAGUAGAGACAGCUGAUAAGCGCAGGAAAUAUAUGAUUGGUUGCACUCAACCUCGGAGGGUGGCUGCAAUGUCUGUCUCUCGUCGUGUUGCUGAAGAGAUGGAUGUUGUAAUUGGGGAAGAAGUUGGAUAUAGCAUUCGUUUUGAGGACUGCACUAGUGCUAGAACUGUUUUAAAAUACUUAACAGAUGGUAUGCUUUUAAGAGAAGCA